AGCGAACGCUGGCGGCAGGCCUAACACAUGCAAGUCGAACGAAGUCUUCGGACUUAGUGGCGGACGGGUGAGUAACACGUGGGAACGUGCCUUUAGGUUCGGAAUAACUCAGGGAAACUUGUGCUAAUACCGAAUGUGCCCUUCAGGGGAAAGAUUUAUCGCCUUUAGAGCGGCCCGCGUCUGAUUAGCUAGUUGGUGAGGUAAAGGCUCACCAAGGCGACGAUCAGUAGCUGGUCUGAGAGGAUGAUCAGCCACAUUGGGACUGAGACACGGCCCAAACUCCUACGGGAGGCAGCAGUGGGGAAUCUUGCGCAAUGGGCGAAAGCCUGACGCAGCCAUGCCGCGUGAAUGAUGAAGGUCUUAGGAUUGUAAAAUUCUCUCACCGGGGACGAUAAUGACGGUACCCGGAGAAGAAGCCCCGGCUAACUUCGUGCCAGCCGCCGCAGUAA
rnacentral:rRNA from 1 species